rnacentral:rRNA from 1 species
GACGAACGCUGGCGGCGUGCCUAACACAUGCAAGUCGAGCGGGGAUUUAAGUGGAAGUUCUUCGGAAUGGAGAUUUAAAUUCUAGCGGCGGACGGGUGAGUAACGCGUGAACAAUCUGUCCCGGACAGGGGGAUAACACUUGGAAACAGGUGCUAAUACCGCAUAAGACCACGGCCUCGCAUGGGGCUGAGGUAAAAGGAGCAAUCCGGUUCGGGGUGAGUUCGCGUCCGAUUAGCUAGUUGGUGAGGUAACGGCCCACCAAGGCGACGAUCGGUAGCCGGCCUGAGAGGGUGAACGGCCACAUUGGAACUGAGAGACGGUCCAAACUCCUACGGGAGGCAGCAGUGGGGAAUAUUGGGCAAUGGGCGAAAGCCUGACCCAGCAACGCCGCGUGAGGGAGGAAGGUUUUCGGAUUGUAAACCUCUGUCCUAUGGGACGAAGGAAGUGACGGUACCAUAGGAGGAAGCCCCGGCUAACUACGUG